rnacentral:rRNA from 1 species
GAUGAACGCUGGCGGCGUGCCUAAUACAUGCAAGUCGAGCGAACGGACGAGAAGCUUGCGUCUCUGAUGUUAGCGGCGGACGGGUGAGUAACACGUGGAUAACCUACCUAUAAGACUGGGAUAACUUCGGGAAACCGUAGCUAAUACCGGAUAAUAUCUUGAACCGCAUGGUUCAAAAGUGAAAGACGGCCUUGCUGUAACUUAUAGAUGGAUCCGCGCUGCAUUAGCUAGUUGGUAAGGUAACGGCUUACCAAGGCAACGAUGCAUAGCCGACCUGAGAGGGUGAUCGGCCACACUGGAACUGAGACACGGUCCAGACUCCUACGGGAGGCAGCAGUAGGGAAUCUUCCGCAAUGGGCGAAAGCCUGACGGAGCAACGCCGCGUGAGUGAUGAAGGUCUUCGGAUCGUAAAGCUCUGUUAUUAGGGAAGAACAGAUGUGUAAUUAACUGUGCACAUCUUGACGGUACCUAAUCAGAAAGCCACGGCUAACUACGUG